UCCCGGCAUUGAUGAGACGAUUGAAGGAAGAUAUCUGCGCCGCGUCUACAGGUUGAACGACUGGAAAGAUGCCAACGACUUGCUCGACCAAAUAGCCCGCAGGACGGGCAGGCUGCUCAAUGUUCCUGCCCGAAUGGUCUGGAACUAUGAACAACGACUACAACAACGACAAAGAAAGGCAAUUCGCCCCGAAUGGCCUUUCUUCGUCACCCUGGUCAAUCUGGAUGCAGCCAAUAAGUGUUGGAGAAACCUGAGCCGCUGUUGAAGAGUCGGGAGAAGAGACAGAAAAAGACUAGAAGAAAUUCAAGCCCAGAUUGGCUCAGGAUUUCAGUAAAUUUAUGUGGAUUUGAAAUACGAAGGUGACGUCAUCCAGCCUUUGGAGGCUAAGCCGGACUUCAAUGAAGACUCUUUGGCUGACGAAUCGGAAAACGAUGAAGACGCAGAGGAAAAUGUGACCACUGACAAAGUGACGGAAGAAUUGAAAUCGACUGACGUGUCCAAAGGGGAAGACAACGAAGGUCCCGAAUACGAGGAAGAUGAUUACGAGGAAAAGAUGGACUAAGAAGAAGAGAGCGACGUGGAUGCAGCGGCCAAGAAGAGACAAGCCAAGACCCUGAAACUUAAAGCGAGAACCAUCACCAAGAGCGAGGCCUUUUCCGUAAUUCCCACGUCGCGAUCGACGAAGAAAGGACGAGGACUACCGACCGGAAAACCCGCGCUGGAAGCCGACUUCGGAAGAGAGGAGGAAGAUCGAUAGCGAUCAGAAAACGAAUAAGAUCACUUCAGUUUUGGGUUCGUCGGUCGGCCAAGUGCAGUCGGAAACUAUUGCACUGUGGAGGUGAACAAAGUGACUGGAGAAGAAAUGCGCUGAAUAAUCACGAGCGAUCACGAGAGCGGUGCGAGUGUGUCGUCGUUGGUCCAAGUGAAGACGGCCAGUGGCGACGACGACGACAACGACAGGAUCAUCAUAAAACUCAAAGAUGCCUGUUGCUAGCAACCCCCUCUGCGGAUCAAGAAGAAACCAACGAAAGUCAUCAGGUGGUUAACGAAGAAGAAGGAAAGAAGCCAGCGCAGGUGGCAGCAAUUAUUAUCAUCAUGUUACGUCAUCCGCAUCAUCUCUUAUUCUACCAGCCAAUCCGCGCGAAGACAACCUGAGCGUUGCCAGUCCCAAUUCCGGUCACGUCCGAUUGGCAGUCACACGAAAAAGGCCAGUCGGAACACCAAUGAUGAAUGAUGGCUCAACAGCAGAAAAUGAAAGUGACAGCGUCUUCUAAUGUUCAGCUCCUACAGCAACAACAGUAUCAUCAUUCGCAGCAGCGGGGACCGGGGCCCAUGGGUCAUCCCAAUCAUUUCCAGUCGCAACAACAACCACACCUAGCCGCAUCCGCACGCCUACCAGGCCGUAAUGGCCACGAUUACGGUGGAUACAUUGGCGGCGGAGGCUACGAUAAAGGACUCGUGGCUGCACUUCCUUACGAUCCUACGUCUGGUCUGGUGUCAUAUACGAUCAUCCCAACAUCCGUCUGGGCGGAGGAGGUCCAUACAACGGAGGAAAAGGAACUCCUUAUUUGACGACGUUUGGCGCGGUUCCGGAAAUGGUGGGGGAGGUCCUGAGCUGGCAGAAGGAAUCACCGAGCUGGACGGGGUUCUAGCGUCAGUCCCAAUCGUCCCAAUCACCGAUCCGUCUCGCAGACAACAACGCGCUUCCGGCUAGGCCCAUUCUUCUUCCAGGGGUGGCCGAUACACUCCAUCAUCGUCUUGUGGACGUUCUCAGGGAUCAUCUCCCGGUGUCAACAACACUGCAGCGACAACGCCAACCACCGCCACCUUCACUACAAACAAGAAUAACAAUCAUCCCCCUCCUCCUCCCGCCACUACUGACUCUUCCGAAAAUCUGCAAUAUAACAAUCUGAUGGUUAUCCCUCACGGAAGAUCGACAUCGGCUUGCCGAAUUGCAAAAGAAGCAUCGUCCCUUUUCCCCAUGUAAAAAGCUAAAAACAUUCGGAGAUCCACAGUUCCACACAGCAGCCAAUGCCCCCCAUUACUUUCUGAUAUUUAUUUAUUAGGUCUAUCUGCGCCCCCCUUCCCCCAAUAGAAAAUUGAAUACGAAAUAUGUAUAAUUAACUAAGGGAUUUGUAUUGCUUGGAUUUGUUUUAUAAUAAAGUAUAACUUUUUUUAACAGG
rnacentral:lncRNA from 1 species